CAACCGAAACGACGCCCUUAGUUACUGGAAAGUUAAUACAGGCGAAAGACGUAUUUUAGCGCUCUCAAAAAUUGCUUAACUGAAUCUCAAUUUCAACAAUUUCGUUGAUACGCAAGGUCGCCGUGAACAACAACCAUCUUCUGGAAUACCAACACAUGCUGCAGCCACUGGACAAAUUAUCGUUUCGGAGAAUAAGGAGUGACGUCCGAAUCACUCUAUUGCGCUUCCAUGGACGUCUCAGGCAACACGUUAUAACAUUUCAAAUUACAUGUAUUAUGGGUUGUCAUUACGAUUGCAAACAAAGGAUUAUUUUUUAAUAGUAACCGAUUAUGCCGGGGGUCCAGGCCAAAACGAAUUAUAGACAUUUUUAGGGACAAAAUACUGCUAUUCUCAGAGCAUAAAAAGUUAUAAUGUGGUCUUAAAAGAAGAGGCAUUUUAAAGUUUUUCACAUUUAAAAUACUGUACAAUGUAAAAACAUAUUAUAUUGAUAUUUCUUUGCAUGUUCAACUCUAUCCAUUACCCGAUAAUCCAGUAUUAUUACGAUUUCUUUUUUUUUAAACCAAAAUACGGCCAAUAUUGACGAUGAAUGUCGUCCGCCAUUUAACGCAAGUGCAUAUACAAAUUGAAUUGUGGGAUUGGGGAAUUCCCAUUGAACAUGCGUGAAUUAUAAUAUGUUACAUGCACCACCUUUUAGAAAAUUUUGCGAAAGUGAAAGUGAAUUUCUGAGAAUAAAAACGCGUCUUUCUUUAAAUUUUACCGUGUACACUUCAUUCCGGAUCGUGAUAUAACUUGUCAGGUCAUUCAUGCAGGUUUGGAAAUCUCAAAACACGUUAUUUACCUACUUAAAAAAUUAUGUGUUAUGACCAUUUGUAUAACAAAAUGCAUUAUUCAAUUGAAGUAUUUUUAAACUCGUAUAAUUAAAUGUGUAAUCCGAAAUCAUUUUUAGAUUUAAUUAUUCACGGAAUAUCAAAAAAUUCUAGCAACAAAGACACAUUUCUCGUGUAUUUUAUGUACAGAUGAAAAUCAUGCCAAAAUUAGACUUCAUUUACAACAUCACGUCAUUCUUCCUCGGGGAAAGCGUGGACUAAUAUUUAAUUGCUGUAUAACAACUUUGUAGCGCAGAGGUCGCUAAUGCCUUUUAUUUUUGUAGAAAAUCGUAGAGCAUUUUUUAUAUGCGGAAACUUUUUCUCUAACUAAAAAACCUAAUAAUUACGCUUUAUCUGCAGAGCUACAUUCGUUGAAAUAAGGUAAGUGAUAAUCGGUGAAACGUACAGUUAUUUGAUACUGUUUCACGUUGGGUCGGCGUGUAUUCGGCCGCCUGAGCGCUGAUUGGUUGAUGCGCUUACCAAGAAGAAUUUAAUUGACAGCUGGAAAAAAUCAAUAUUGGCCACUCGCUGAGAAAUUCAUUGAAAACAGUAGCUCUUAGGCGGAGUUAACGGACUGAAUGAACCGGCGUCGCUCUGCGGUUAUUCCUCGUCGGUUUGCAAGAUUAAAACUUCCGAUUGCAAUUUUGAAGAUUCGGGAAAAACAACCGAUUUUCUGGAGAUUUUAACCGAUGAAUUCGAUCGGCAAUCGGUUAAUAAUGACAACCCUUAAAUAAUAAAUCAACUUCAACUUUAAAUAAAUAAAUUAAAUGUAUAUGGAUCCAUACAAAUCGUGUGCAAAAUAUAUAAUACACAGAGCUGUGCGACUAAUUUGAUACUUAUUGCUAUAAUGUUAUGGAAAAAUAAACAUAAUUUCAUCGACAUAAAGGUCAACUUGAGCAGUCCAGCGGACAACAGUAAGAAGCCUAUCAAAGCCGUCAGUAUUUUGUAAAUACACUUCAACUCAAUUGGCGUUAAUUGUACGCAAGUUGUUUAUCCAAUAUUUUUAUAAAGUUUUGUUUGUGCUUGUGCUCAGGAUAUUAGAUUAAACUAAAACAGUAAUUCAG